UACGUAGGGAGCAAGCGUUGUCCGGAAUCAUUGGGCGUAAAGCGCGCGUAGGCGGCCCGGUAAGUCCGCUCUGAAAGUCACAGGCUCAACCUGUGAAAGCGGGUGGAUACUGCCGGGCUAGAGUCCGGAAGAGGCGAGUGGAAUUCCUGGUGUAGCGGUGGAAUGCGCAGAUAUCAGGAGGAACACCAACGGCGAAGGCAGCUCGCUGGGACGUGACUGACGCUGAGACGCGAAAGCGUGGGGAGCAAACAGG
rnacentral:rRNA from 1 species